rnacentral:rRNA from 1 species
UACCAGCACCCCGAGUGGGCGGGACGAUUAUUGGGCCUAAAGCAUCCGUAGCCGGUUUUACAAGUCCUCCGUGAAAUCCAGCUGCUUAACAGAUGGGCUGCGGAGGAUACUAUAAGACUAGGAGGCAGGAGAGGCAAGCGGUACUCAGUGGGUAGGGGUAAAAUCCGUUGAUCCAUUGAAGACCACCAGUGGCGAAGGCGGCUUGCCAGAAUGCGCUCGACGGUGAGGGAUGAAAGCUGGGGGAGCAAACCGG